UCGAGAAUCUUCCGCAAUGGACGAAAGUCUGACGGAGCGACACCGCGUGCAGGAUGAAGGCCUUCGGGUUGUAAACUGCUGUCACGCUAUAGGAAUUCCCUGUCGUUAAUAGCUGCAGGGUUGACCAAAGCGAGAGGAAGCACCGGCUAACUCCGUGCCAGCAGCCGCGGUAAGACGGAGGGUGCAAACGUUGUUCGGAAUCACUGGGCAUAAAGCGCACGUAGGCGGUUUGCUAAGUCUGAAGUGAAAUCCUCCGGCUCAACCGGAGAACUGCUUCGGAUACUGGCUGACUUGAGGACGGUUGGGGUGAGUGGAACUCCUGGUGGAGCGGUGAAAUGCGUAGAUAUCAGGAGGAACACCAGUGGCGAAAGCGGCUCACUGGACCGUAUCUGACGCUGAGGUGCGAAAGCUAGGGUAGCGAACGGGAUUAGAUACCCCCGUAGUCC
rnacentral:rRNA from 1 species